rnacentral:rRNA from 1 species
AUUGAACGCUGGCGGCAUGCUUUACACAUGCAAGUCGAACGGUAACAGGUUAAGCUGACGAGUGGCGAACGGGUGAGUAAUGCAUCGGAACGUGCCCGAUCGUGGGGGAUAACGCAGCGAAAGCUGCGCUAAUACCGCAUACGAUCUGGGGAUGAAAGCGGGGGACCGUAAGGCCUCGCGCGAUCGGAGCGGCCGAUGUCCGAUUAGGUAGUUGGUGGGCUAAAGGCGCACCAAGCCAACGAUCUGUAGCUGGUCUGAGAGGAAGACCAGCAACACUGGGACGGAGACACGGCCCAGACUCCUACGGGAGGCAGCAGUGGGGAAUUUUGGACAAUGGGCGAAAGCCUGAUCCAGCAAUGCCGCGCGCAGGAAGAAGGCCUUCGGGUUGUAAACUGCUUUUGUACGGAGCGAAAAGGCCCUCUCUAAUACAGUGGGCUCAUGACGGUACCGUAAGAAUAAGCACCGGCUAACUACGUGCCAGCAGCCGCCGUAA